rnacentral:misc_RNA from 1 species
AAAAAAAAAAAAAAAAAAACUUGGUGGUUAUUAAAUGGGAUUGACUGCAGUAUUUUCCAAGACAUUGAAGACAUGUGUUUUUUGCAGGUUGUUUUGUUUUCUUUGAAUUUCUUUUAAAAUGAAUGUCUGAAAGUGAAAUACUGCUGCGAUAGUAAGUGUAAUAUCAGGUUGGUUAGUAGUUGUGUUGAUGCUCCCUGCAAUGUAAUAACUAUUGGCAUAUUGUUAUUGCUUGUAGCCAAAAUGGCCUCAUUUGGAGUAUAUUAGAUAAAGGUUCCGCUUCUCCAAAAAUUGGUUUUUACUGUUUAGCUGAAAAGUUGGUGCACGUUUAAAGUUGGUCUUAAUAAAAAGUAAAUUUAGCAGGGUGAACCUGAAGCCAACUGGACA